rnacentral:rRNA from 1 species
UGCCAGCAGCAGCGGUUAAACUUUGAUCUUCAAUUUAUUUACAUUGGUUAAAACAUAGGUUAUAAAAAAUUAAUAUUUCUAGGUUAAAUUUAAAUUGAAUGACUUCCACAGUAGCAAUAUUUAAAAAACUAAUAAGAAAAACUGAGAUUAGAGACCUCACUAUUUAUUAGAAUAAUUUUUAACCUAAUUAUUAAAGGUGUACACGCUUAAAAUUUAAAGAACUUGGCUAUUUCUAAAAGUAUUGGGGGAUUUUGCUUCUGGAAACAAUGAUCCGUGUUAUAUCUUUCCUUAUUCAAAGUUUAUAUAUCGCCGUUUAAUUUAAAGAUGAGAAUAUUGAUAUUUAAGAGAAAGCUUAUAGGCAAAAAGUCAGGUCAAGAUACAGCAUAAUAAGGUGGUGAAGUGAAAUACAGUUUUAUAAAAAGCCAUUUGGAAACUUAAAAUAAAUAGAACUUAAUAGUAAUAUUUAUUUAAAAUGUAAAUAUGAAAUAUUUAAUUAGAAAGGUACAUAUCGCCCGUCACGCUUUAUUUAAAACUAAAUCAAGAUAAGUCGUAACAAAGUA